rnacentral:rRNA from 1 species
AGGACGAACGCUGGCGGCGUGCUUAACACAUGCAAGUCGAGCGGAAAGGCCCUUCGGGGUACUCGAGCGGCGAACGGGUGAGUAACACGUGAGCAACCUGCCCUUAGCUUCGGGAUAGCUCCGGGAAACCGGAAUUAAUACCGAAUAUGAUUUUGCUGACAUCAGCAGAAGUGGAAAGUUUUUCGGCUAGGGAUGGACUCGCGGCCUAUCAGCUAGUUGGUGAGGUAACGGCCCACCAAGGCGACGACGGGUAGCCGGCCUGAGAGGGCGACCGGCCACACCUGGGACUGAGACACGGCCCAGACUCCUACGGGAGGCAGCAGUGGGGAAUAUUGCGCAAUGGGCGAAAGCCUGACGCAGCGACGCCGCGUGGGGGAUGAAUGCCUUCGGGUUGUAAACCCCUUUCAGCAGGGACGAAGCGAAAGUGACGGUACCUGCAGAAGAAGCGCCGGCUAACUACGCGCCAGCAGCCGC